rnacentral:rRNA from 1 species
AUUGAACGCUGGCGGCAGGCUUAACACAUGCAAGUCGAGCGGGGUGAUGGUGCUUGCACUAUCACUUAGCGGCGGACGGGUGAGUAAUGCUUAGGAAUCUGCCUAUUAGUGGGGGACAACAUCUCGAAAGGGAUGCUAAUACCGCAUACGUCCUACGGGAGAAAGCAGGGGACCACUUGUGACCUUGCGCUAAUAGAUGAGCCUAAGCCGGAUUAGCUAGUUGGUGGGGUAAAGGCCUACCAAGACGACGAUCUGUAGCGGGUCUGAGAGGAUGAUCCGCCACACUGGGACUGAGACACGGCCCAGACUCCUACGGGAGGCAGCAGUGGGGAAUAUUGGACAAUGGGGGGAACCCUGAUCCAGCCAUGCCGCGUGUGUGAAGAAGGCCUUAUGGUUGUAAAGCACUUUAAGCGAGGAGGAGGCUCUUUUGGUUAAUACCCAAGAUGAGUGGACGUUACUCGCAGAAUAAGCACCGGCUAACUCUGUGCCAGCCGCCGCAGUAA